GUAUGCAGAAAUGCUUAAACACAUGAAUACCUAUCUCAUCUCUACCGCAAGAGUCAAAAUCUCCCAAACUUCACACGGCAAGCCGAUACAUAAGUUUUACUGGAUUCUUGACAAAGAAACAGUAAUUGAACAUAUCACACCAUCUAAUGGAGUUGAGAAACCACUUCCACCACCAACCAAGCUGAAUAUCACAACCUUUGACCGCAUUCCUCACAUGAUGCUUGAUACUGCUGUUGAAAUCGAAAUACUGGCAAUCGUUCUUCGUUGUGGUCCUCAAAAAUACGCAGGUCGCAGUCAUCAUAAGUGUCGAGAAAUUAUCAUUUGUGACAAUCA